AUACGUAGGUGACAAGCGUUAUCCGGAUUUACUGGGCGUAAAGGGCGUGUAGGCGGUCUUGCUAGUCAGAAGUGAAAUUCCUGAGCUCAACUCGGGCGCUGCUUCUGAAACUGCAGGACUUGAGUGCUGGAGGGGAUAGCGGAAUUCCUAGUGGAGCGGUAAAAUGCGCAGAUAUUAGGAAGAACACCGGUGGCGAAGGCGACAAUCUGGACAAGAACUGACGUUGAGGCUCGAAAUCGUGGGGAGCAAACAGGAGUAGGUACCCUGGGAGUCCACGCCGGAAACGAUGAAUACUAGGUGUCGGGUUUCUAUAGAGAUUCGGUGCCGCAGCAAACGCAAUAAGUAUUCCACCUGGGGAGUACGUUCGCAAGAAUGAAACUCAAAUGAAUUGGCGGGG
rnacentral:rRNA from 1 species